AGAUUUUAUUUUGUUCAUGUUAUAGUUGUCACCUUUACAAACUGAAGAUAAGACCAAAAGUUUGGGUCAAGUCAAAAGAAGAAGCCGAGAAGCAUUGGUAAACUCAAAUGAUCCUAUUGUAACAUUGAAGAUGAUUGACUCAAUCCAACGGCUGGGAAUUGGUCAUCAUUUGGAAGAUGAGAUCAAUAUACAACUUGGGAGGAUAUGUGAUUGGGACCUUUCUCAAGACCUCUUUGCCACAUCCCUUCAAUUUCGGUUACUGAGGCAUAAUGGCUGGACCACAUGUUCUGGUAUAUUACAUUAUCUUAAUUAUUAUUUUGGAUCAACGUCAUGUAUAUGCUUUGAAUUUUCUUAUGCUUUGGUCCAUUUUGUCAUAUUAAGAGAGAAAUAAACAACUAAAUUAGCAUAAUAAUAAGACAAAACACUUCCUUAAAAAAACAAAGACAAAACACUUAAUUUGAUAUGGUGGUAUGUCUUGGGACCUUUCAUUUUCCACCCUACUUGAAGGUCAAUUAUGAUGAUGAGGUAGCGUUUAGUUGAAAAAUUUAAUAUCCAUGUCAUUAUUAAUUUGUUUUAUUCAAUAGUUAUUAUUUAUAAAAUAUCGAUUAUUAAAAUAAUAAAUUUAAUUAUUUAAACAAUAUAUUUAUUAAAAAUGUUAAUGAAUGCCUUCAUGACAUUUUUUAAAGAUCAUAAGUAGCAAGUGUUUAUGAAAAUGUAUGCAAUCAAUGUAUUGGAAAUAAAAAUAUUUAAUUUUUUUAAAGAAUAAUUAUUUAUUUUAAAAUGCUUAAAGAGUAUGUUGAGGUACUUGUUAAAAAGACCAUAUUAUAUUGGGAAAUGUUAUAUAUGAUCUAAUACUCAAUUAUUAUAUGAUUUUUUAAGUCUUUGUACUCUCUUUCAGUUAAAACUAUUGAUAGUCUACCUAUGUAUUAUUGGAUGUAUUAUUGGAUUUCACUUGAUAAUGAAUGUAUUACUACUAUAUUCACAUUUAUAUAUAUAAGAUUGGGGUUUGAACCUAGGCCACCACAAAAAAAAAAAUCACAUUUAUAAUAAUUAUUGUACAUAAAGUAGCUUACUUAGGUGCUGCUAAAAGAAAUAAACUUAAUGAUUUGAUUAGUGUGGUUGUAGAUGUUUUCAGGAAGUUUUUGGACAAGAGUGGCAAUUUCAAUGAAUCACUUACCAAAGAUGUUUGGGGUAUGUUGAGUUUAUAUGAGGCAUCAUAUUUAGGGACAGAAGAUGAAGAAAUAUUAAAAAAAGCCAUGGAAUUUUCAAGGGCUCGUCUAAGUGAGUUAAUCCCACACCUUAGUCCUGAAGUGGGUAGGAACAUUGCCAAAUCCUUAACACUUCCAAAGCACCUAAGAAUGGCAAGGUUAGAAGCAAGGAACUAUAUGGAAGAAUAUAGCAAAGGAAGUAACCAAAUACCUGCUCUUCUGGAAUUGGCAAAGUUAGACUCUGAUAUGGUUCAGUCAUUACACCAAAGAGAAUUAGCAGAAAUAUGCAGGUGACUUUAUGCUCAAGAUUACACUAUAAUAAAAAAUUGAAUUAAGUGUGUAUUGGAUGGAUUGGUUGCAUUACACUAUAAUAACACCAGAUGUAAAUCAAUAUUGAAUAUCAUGUCACACUACCAAAAAAUUAAAUUAGCAACGGAUAUUUAAAGAUGAAAAUUUUGAAAUUUGUCUCUAGUUCUGCCACUAAAUUUAGCGACAAGGAAUUAGAGACAAAAUUAUUUUUUCUUCAUAAAUAUUUUGAUUGUCAAUUUACUAGUGUUUACUUCAUUUUUCAAAUUCAAAUAAUGUAUUUCAAAAUUAAUUUCUGCCAAUAACAUUACAAAUUUCAUACUUCUUUCUGUCUAUUACUAUGUUAUAAGAAAUGCUACAUUUCAUAACUAGUUUAUUUGAUUUGUUUAGGUGGUGGAAAGAGUUGGGACUUGUUGAAAAACUUGGUUUUGCAAGAGAUAGACCAACAGAGUGCUUCUUAUGGACAGUAGGGAUAUUUCCAGAACCAUGUCAUUCAAAUUGCCGCAUAGAACUUACAAAAACCAUAUGUAUUUUGCUAGUAAUGGAUGAUAUCUUUGACACUUAUGGAACAUUAGAUGAACUUGUUCUUUUUACAAAGGCAAUUAAAAGGUACGCUUCUAUAGAUUUUGUAUGUAUUUAAACUUAAUUAACGAUAGAAACUAAUUAUAAAUUAACCAUGCUAAACUGAACUUUAUGUUUUGCAGGUGGGACCUUGAUGCAAUGGAUCAACUUCCAGAAUACAUGAAGAUAUGCUAUAUGGCAUUAUAUAACACCACAAAUGAAAUUGCAUACAAAAUCCAAAAAGAACAUGGACUAACUGUUGUUUCUUACUUGAAAAGAACAGUAAGAAUCUAAAUAUCAUAUUUCUAAAUUUAAACCAAAGUAUAGCUAAGAUUAAUAGGUUAAUAAUUGUAGACUUGGUGAUUAAUUUGUGCAGUGGAUUGACAUAUUUGAAGCAUUUCUUGAAGAAGCCAAAUGGUUCAAUAAUGGAUGUGUGCCAAAUUUUAAGACAUAUUUGGAUAAUGGAGUAAUUUCUGCUGGAUCAUGCAUGGCCUUGGUGCAUGCUACUUUCCUCAUUGGUGAUGGUCUCUCAAAGGAAACUAUGUCCAUAAUGAUGAAGUCAUAUCCCAGACUCUUCACUUGCUCCGGCGAAAUUCUUCGACUAUGGGAUGACUUAGGAACUUCAACGGUAUCACUUUGAUCCCUACUAAAAAAAUCGUGAAUACUGAAAAUCAAUCAAUAAAUAAAAGGUCAUGCUAACUUGUGCCCUAAGGGCACCUCUUAAACAACCCAAAAAGAGCAACUUUAAUGUGCCCUUAGGGCUGUCUCAUUACAAAUAUCUACAGAAUAAGUAAAAAAUUCAAUUAAGAUUACUGAUAUCUUACUAAUUUUGAUGUUCAGGAGGAACAAGAAAGAGGAGAUAAUGCUAGUAGUAUACAAUGCAUGAUGAGAGAGAAUAAUAUUUCAGAUGAAAAUGAAGGAAGAAUACACAUAAGGAUGCUACUAGGGAAUUUGUGGAGAGAGCUGAAUGGUCUUGCCACGACCAAAACCAUACCUUUGUCUGUUGUCAAAGCUUCUCUUAAUAUGGCAAGAACUGCUCAAGUUAUUUAUCAACAUGGAGAUGAUCAAAGCACAUUUACUGUUGAUGACUAUGUGCAAACAUUGAUCUUCACAUCAUUACCUACUAGCCAUUGAAUGGAAGAGAUACAAAUUCUAUGCCUAUAGUAUUUUAUUUGAAAAAUAGGGAAACAUGUAAUGCUUAUAAAAAAUAACUUGUAGAUUGAAAAAAAUAAAAUUAUAAAUGACAUAUUUUUGUCAUGGACCUUAUUGUUUAUUAUAUAAAAGACUGCAGUCUUAUGGCUAAGUAGAAAUAAUGCUACAAGAAUUAUGAACUAUUUUGUUUAGCUUGGGAGGAAUUAACCAGUAACCACCAUAUUUACCUGAGGAAUAUUUUCAUGGAGGAAAAAUGGUUAAAGCUAUAACAGUGUUAACAAGAGCAAAAUUGGUAUACCUCUAUGAAAUUGAUAAGGGAUGCGAUCUUUUUUGAUGGUGGCCAUGGUUUGAGCCUCGUGGCUUGCAUAUAUUAUGCAUUGUCUAUACCAACUGAAUUACGUUCACGGGAACGAUAAAGGAUGUGAUCUAAACAAUAGUCAGAGGGUUAAUUUAUAAUCAUGAUAAUUCGAAUAAUUCUCCAAGGGGAAACAACUUCCCCAACCAUGGUUGGAACUGGAAGCCUAGCGAAUUUAACACAAUCCAAAAUCUCCCACUAUUCAAACUCUCCAACAAAUUGGUAGGCAUCAUAGUUUUCAAAAGAGCCUUUUAGAAAACUUCAUGACAAUUCAAUCGAGGUGUCAUAUCAAGAGAUUAGAAAACAAUUUAAAGAGAUUAAGGAACAAAAUCUCUUAAUCAUGGAUGGUAUCAAAUUCUUAGCCUCCAAUGCAGACUAUGUCCUCCCACACAAAAUUAAAAUCUCUCAAACUUUUAACGAAAUCUCUUCCAAAGCACAUACCACAUCAAACAAACCUCCAAUAAUUAGGUAGAUUUGGGGUCUAAUUCAUACCGUAUAGUUUCUCAGGUGAUUGUCCUAUUUGAAAAUGUGUUAUAUUUUUCCUAAGAAAGACGUGGGUUACGUGAGUGAUGAUGAUUGGUGACAACUAGGGUACUCAUGGAAGAAUGGUGGAUAAUUUAUCCAAACCAAUACACAUAAGCCACAUAAGCACAUUUUUAAGUGGUAUCCAUGAACUAUCUUGAGUACCCCACCAACAAAUUGCUCAUUUUCAUUGGUUGGUGGGUAAAUUACCCACCAUUCUUCAAAGGUAAUCUAAAAAAAACCUCGAUGAUUGUAUGUUGCACAGGGACAUGAGAUUUGAAGUCCGUAUACUUACUUGACAAUAAUACACGACUAAAGACAACGUGUAAGUGUCAUACUAACGGACACCCGUGUCCUUUUACAUGCUAGUUUACAAUAAUAACAAUAACAUUAAUUAUUUAAAUUGAUUAUGCAAUAUAUGCAAAGUUUAAAAAAUGAAUUGUAAAAUAAAAACACAUAUUAUAUAUAAUCUUAUAAUUUGAUAUUCUUAUUUUUUUUGACCAAUAAUAUAACUGAAGUCCAAAAAAGCUACUUAGAGAUUGAUUUUUUUAAUAAUUUUUCAGGCAUGUUUGGGACAUUAAAAUAUGACAAUACACAAAAAAAUUUAAUUUUUCAACUAAGGAUGAAUUAAUUAUGAAUUUUUAAGGCGCAAAAAACUCAAAAAAUAAAUAAAUAAUGAAAACUCCAACCUAAAAAUUGAAUUUUGAACUGAUUGUUUGCAUAGACAUCUAUUGAAAUAUAUAAAAAAGGAUCUGCAAAAGUUCGUACCAUUUCAAAGAUUUUUUUAUUUUUCAAUCAAAAUGUGUGAAAUUGCAAUUUUGUUCCGAGUAAGCAUAUACUCACGAAUCAAAGUCUGUUCUCUAAUUUUGUAGGCAUGGUUAGAACAUCAUAAGAACCUUCACAAUGAAAUUUUGAAGUUUUUAAACGAGAUACGAAUUAAUUAUGAAUUAUUUAAGAAAUUCAUAAUUAUGGGGAAUAAAAAUUCAUAAUUAAUCCGUCCCUAGUCGGAAAAAUCUGAUUUUUUGUGUAAAACUAUGUUUUAACAUCCUAAAGAUUCCUGAAAAAAAUCAUGAAAAAAUUCAAUAACUAGAUCACUUUUUUGGACCACACGUAUAUUAUAGGGUCAAAAGUAAGAAGAAUCUCAAAUUACAUGGUUAAAAUAUCUAUUUUUUAUUUUAUAAGAUCAUUUUUCAUGCAUCAGGUAUUUUACAGGGUCAAUUUAAACAAUUAACUCUAACAUAAAUAAUAGAGACAAAUAAAAAUGAAAGGGUGAUUUAAAUAUUGAAAUAUACGAAUAAUUUCAAACUUAAAUAUGGUAGGCUCGAUUCUCAAAAAUCCCCAAUGGAGUCAAGGACAAAUCAUCUAUGAAAAGAAGUCCCCACAUGUUUCAAUUUGUUUAUAAGAUGGAUGCCUAUGAUGUUAAAUUAUGAUCGUUAUGUAGAAAUAUUUUUACCAUGUAUCUAUAGGGUCGUUCCAACAAAUUUGGAGGCUCGACAUUGUAAGUGAAAAAAGGUAUGUAAUAAAAUAAAAAUGUGUGUGUGUAUAUAUAUAUAUAUAUAUAUAUAUAUAUAUAUAUAUAUAUAUAUAUAUAUAUAUGCGAUACACCGAUCACUACCGUAUACACGAGGAACCUCAAACCACCCUCUCAUAAAAAACACCCACUUAACACCAAAAGUAAGAGGACCCAAUUCUAAUAUGCCUAUGAUUGAAGUCAAACCGAGGAAGAAGAAAAGGAAAGUCUGAUGGAGUGAUGAUGAUGGAACGCGUGGUAUGAGAGAGAAAGAUAAUAAGAAAAUUUGUUUUUUUUAGUGGGGUAGUACUUAGUAGUACUACGAAACUACAAAUUUUUGUUUUAGAUUCAUACUUUGAGGAGGUCCAGUUCCAUAGAGCUCUUUGCACGUUCCAAGGUCCGGCCCGAUACCUAUAUAUGUUUAGAGAAGCACCGGAAACCUUUGUUUUCCAACCUUCACUUUAACAAUCACUUGAGAAGAUACUGUUACAUUGCAAUCAUAGGUACCAAGGGCGGAUCCACAUUGAAACAUGGUGUGACACUUGCCACACCAGAUUAUUACCCAUUUUUUAAUAGGUAUAUACUCCUAUAAUAGUUUAAAGGUAUAUGAUAAAUAUUAUUUCGUGCAAAUUAUGAUAGCUUGUAAAGUGUGUUUCAGUGGUAACUAUCAGAGGCUCUUUGCUUCAAUGUUUUUAGUUUGAUUCCCUCCAUAAGAAUUUUUGCAUUUCUCUUGAUUUUUUUUUAAUUGUCAGUAGUGAACUUUGCGCUCAUUGGGAGUUUUAGAAAAACAUCCUUAGCUUGCUCUUCAUAUGUCCUAAUAUUAUAUCUUUUAUCAAGCUAAAUAUAUUUUAUUCUUUUUAAUAUACUUGAUAAUAAAUAUAUACUUUUUUAUGUGAUUUUCUUUUUUAGGAAAACAAUUUUUUAUGUGAUGAAUUAUUUAUAAAAUAUUCUUUUUUAUUAUUGUUGAUUUUAAGUUAUUUGGAGUGCAUAGAGAAUUAAUUUAAGGCAUUUAGUUCAAUUUUUUUUUUUUAAUCAUUAACUUAAUGCUUAUUACAACUUAAAUUUUGUGUUUUUAUCUUACAGUUUUAGUUUAUUCUAGUGUACCAUCUAAUUUUUUUUUCAUGACUCCGUUACCGUUUUAUGUCAAGACACUAAUAACACUUACAUGUUCAGAUGUUUGGGUUUCACUAAUUACAAUGGAAGAAAUUUUUCUCUAAUAAUAUUGUAUUGUAGUUGCAGUUUCGUCUAUAGACGAUUUUUAUUUUAAAUGUAUUGAAUCAAACAAUGUUAUUUAUUAUUUUUAGUAUAAUUUAAUUCAUAGAUUCUUCGUAUUUUUGCCACACCAAAAUACAAUGUCUGGAUCCGCUCCUGAUAGUUACUGAAAAAUUUAGUAAAAAGAACGUGGAUGAAAAGUGAAAACUUGACAAGAAUAGGUAAGGAAAAAUUAGGGCCACAUAGCCAGCUUUAUUUAUUACCUACAACCGACGUACUGGUGGCCACAUGAUAUUUGCAGAGAGCAACAUUAUUUCAAUAGUAUUUGGGUCGUUUGUUCUAGGGACCAAAUUUAGUACCAGUUGAUUUAUACGAAAAAAAAAAAGAAAAAAAGCAGGGAUCUUACCUAAGGAAGGAACAGAAAUAAGAGUACUCGUACAAUACAAUGGUUGUUACUGAACUUAGAGUUUCAUGUCUCACAAGUGCACUUUCAUGUUGCAAUUCCCGGUCUUCAACUUAUCAUUCACGGAUCUUAUUGCUACAAAAAUCAAAACCAGGGUUCAUGCAUCGUAAACUAUCGAUCAAUUCCACUGCUCUCAAUGACAAGGUAUAUAUGUUUUAGUAAUAUCUCUCUCCCUCUCUCUCUCAUGUACACUACUAGUACUAGCGCUACACCUCUUAAGUCAACCAUUAAAUGCAAUUGCAACAUCUAAAUGACAAGCUAGGAUUUAUAUGAGAAAUGUUAAUUUGUGUCCUUAAAGCACACAUUAAUGUUAAAAGUAUAAAUAUUUUAUUAUAAUCAAUGUAUUUGAAUUUAAUUUUUUAUUUUUGAUUAAUUGAAUACACAAAAUCUAAGAAGAUGUUUCUACUUUUUAUCAACAAAAGAAAAUGUUGUUACUUUUAAAUUCUCUAAUAUGUGCUCUUAGAAACAAAGUUAGCAUGACCCUUUAUCUCUCUUAAUAUAUAUAACAAAUCUCGAAUCAUUUAAAUGAUUAAAAAGUUGAAUCAUAAUUUGGAGAUCUCUUCGAUAUAUGUUUUUAAAACUUUGUGAAUUUAUUUGAAAAGAGAGAACUUAUAUUAAAGAAAAAAUUUAAACAAAAAUAAAUUUCUUAUUAAUUAAACUUUAUUAGUAAAAUAAUAAAAAUUAAAUUUUAUUAAAAAAAAACUUUAUUAUCGAUAAUUAAAUAUGUUAAUGAUUAAAGUUGUGCAUUGACAUGUCUAUAGUAGUUGAUUGUGACAUGUAUUUAAAAAUAGAGGAAGUACAUUGUAAUCUCGUCCAAAAGGAGUGGAUUCCGAGGACUGUGAUGUUUAUUGACGAUCAAGUGUCAUACAAUCCAGUUUUUAUGUUUGAAGUCAAAUUUAUAAUUUCUUCUUUUUUGAAUCUUAGUUGUUUAUUUAAAAGGAAAUGGUAACUUGUGUCCUUAGGCAUAAGUUAAGAAGCCAAAUGUAAAAAAGAAUUAUUGAAAAUUGUGCAUUCAAUAUCUUAAAAGUUUUAAAAGUUAUAUUUUCAAUAUAAAAUUUAUUUUUAAUUUCCAUUUUAAGCUCCUUAUUUUGUACCCUUAGGACACAAGUUAACAUGACCCUUAUUUAAAUAGGAUUUAAAAUAUGGGUCAUGUGAACAAAUAUCCUAAAAACAGUUGCUAAUGAUUUAAAAAAGAAAAUAAUUUACACCACUUUUAAGAUAAAGUCAUUCUUUUGACUUUUUACCAAGGGUCCUAAAAUAAUUUACUUUUUUAAGAUAUUAAUUAUAAAUUGUGUGGAAACUUACUUAUAAAUUUACAUGUAUUUAUAAAUAAUGGAUUAUUUAGGUUAAUAUCACCACUCUAAUUUAUUUUUCGCAAUAAUUUUAUGCAAAUAAGUAUUUUUUCUAUAUAUUUGGUUUUUCUUUUGUGAUUUUGUCAUCUUAGUGCGACACGUUGUUUUGGUAUGCAUUAUUAUGAUUUUUUGUGCUGUUGUGAUGUUCAUUCGGUUGGAUGAUAGAUUAACUUUGAUCCAUUACAAAUUGAACAAUGACAUUGGCUUCUUAACGUUACAAAUAUUGAGGCUUUGAUUCUUCAUACACUUUAAUUUGGUUAUAUAUGUAUGCUUUGUCACAUUUGUAGUCAUUUUAUCGUUGUAGCUGUUAACUUAGAUGCUGUGAAUUUGAUUGCAAAUUUAUAAUUUUUUUUUAACAAAUUUUAAUUUGCUCUCAAUCAAUGUAUUCUACCAAUUCAAAUGAAAGAAGAAAUGAAUGUCGGUGUUUUAGUAAGAGAAAAAAAAAUGGUGUUUCAUGCUUUCUGUGUUAGGUGGCACCUUUACAAACGGAUGAUAGCACCAAAAGUUUGGAGCAAGUCAAAAGAAAAAGUCAAGAAGCAUUGUUAAACUCAAGUGAUCCUAUGGUAGCAUUGAAGAUGAUUGACUCAAUCCAAGGGCUGGGAAUUGGUCACCAUUUGGAAGAUGAGAUCAAUAUACAACUUGGGAGGAUAUGUGAUUGGGACCUUUCUC
rnacentral:lncRNA from 1 species